rnacentral:rRNA from 1 species
UACGAAGGGGGCCAGCGUUGCUCGGAAUUACUGGGCGUAAAGGGAGCGUAGGCGGACAGUUAAGUCAGAGGUGAAAGCCCAGGGCUCAACCCUGGAAUUGCCUUUGAUACUGAUUGUCUUGAGUAUGGGAGAGGUAUGCGGAACUCCGAGUGUAGAGGUGAAAUUCGUAGAUAUUCGGAAGAACACCAGUGGCGAAGGCGGCAUACUGGCCCAUUACUGACGCUGAGGCUCGAAAGCGUGGGGAGCAAACAGG